rnacentral:lncRNA from 1 species
GUAAGUCCGUGCAAAGGGGACAGGAAAAAUGUUUAAGUAUGUCAUCUGAGUGACAAACUUAUUCCUCCACUGUUUAAUAGCAGCUCUAUCUCCUUGUGAUAAUUAGGGACAAUUACCCCUUUAGGUCAGUGACUUCUCUAUGUUUCUGCUAGUUUCUUGGAGUGAGUUCAGAGUGCCCAGGCAUUAUCAAGAGGCUAAAAUCUAUUGAGGCUUUUGCUAGCACCAGCUGGAAAAGUUAACCAUUUGGAUAACCAGGAUCUCCAAACGCCUUUGCAGAGUUCAGUGUUGCAAGGCCCAGAAGCAUGGGUUAAGAAAAGUGAUGGUAAACAGAUUAUCUGCUGUGUUUUCUCAUUACUUUAUAAAGCAAGUACUGAUUGGGUGAAGAAGGAGUUGUCUCCUACCCGUUGCGAUUCCUGUAAUAUGCUCACUCUUUGGGAAAAUGAUCUUGGAACCAGCGACUCCCGAUGCCAUGUGUGAAUCAUAGCACUAGGAGAUGUGUUGCAUGCCUGUGAAUUAUACCCCAAGUGUGACAGACGAUGACUAUUUGGAGGAUGCCAAAUAGCAGUUGCCGUAGCAACAAUAACCAGGGGAUGCUUCUCCGAACUUCUGCCUCCUCUCUGCCCCAUCAUUUCCCCUGUUUUGAGAGUUAGAUAACGUGGUUACUGGAAUUAGUCGAAGCUGGUUCCCACCCCCAGCCCCCACCCAGCAUAAUGAAAGAGAGAAAACUUAGAAAUGUCUGCCUUCUUCUUACUAUCAGGGGAAAUUCAGCAUAUCUCUGCAGUCAAGACUGAAAGGAGGGAGACUCAGAGGGCAAAGAGCUGUGCUCUCUCAUACUAAUAAAUGCUCGGUGGUGGGAAAAUUAAUUGUCAGAACUGCUCCUGCAAACCACUUGUGAGGAAUGAAAAAGAUCAUUGUUGAAUUUCCACACGUGGGCUAAAAGAACAGUAUGUAAAUUGGAUUGCAAGAUGCUAUGUUCUGUGAGUGGAAAUUUCUGGUCUCUUCUGGAUCUGACAUGGCAGAUUUAAUUUUACUUUCUUAAAAAAAUAGGAGUGUAAUCUAGACAGGGAGAAGGAAAAUUUCUUUUAAUUACCUAUGACUUUAUUGAUAUGUACAGCCCCUUCCCCAAAUAAAUAUUCAGAUUAAAGCAGAGAAUGAAGUUUAAGGAAAAUUCUAUUUGCUAAGAGCGGAGUGGAUUUCUUCAAAGGAAAAGAAGCUUAAGCUUCAGGGCCCCUUCUAAGGCCCUGAAUCUAAAUUUGCAUUUGUAAAUAUAUUACAAUUCUUCUUUAAAAUCCACUCUCUGAUUAUAUACGCUUUGAGCUCCACAAAUUCUCGAUCCACCUCUCAGGAGAAGGCAAAAUGUAAGUGAUUUAUUUGAUUGUAUGUUUUGCUAUUGCAUCACUCUUUAUGACAUUCAGAUUUCUCACCUUGUAGUUCUAUUUUGAGUACUCAUAUCUGCUUUUACUUUUUCUCCUCUUGCUUUGGGAGAUAUUAUAGAUCUUCCGCUAGUCUUAAGCUUGCACACGUUUAAACAACAAUAUCAAAAAACGUGUAGUUUACAUACAUCAUUGUACUUUCAAAACUACUUAAUACAGUUUUGAGUAGAAAUUGAAAUGGUUCAUAGUAGAAAAUAGAUAGAACAGAUCAAGAGUUAUUUUAAAGUGGUUAAUUUAUCUGCUAACCAUGUCAUUCAGAGUCUAUUCUAUGUAAUUUCUGUGGGAAACAUCAAUUUCUGACUGGAAGAAGUUUUUGUAUACUCUUAACAAUAAAUAUAAUU